GUUCAAGUUUUUAAGGGCACACGGUGAAUGCCUUGGCAUUAGGAGCC
rnacentral:rRNA from 1 species